UUCGUCAUAGACCAUGUCGAUUGGAUGGGAAUAGCGGUGACGUUCGACGCUGCACCGGAUGAGGUGGGGGAGGAGGGUUCCGUCUGGGUGAUUAAGGGGAUGGGAACGC
rnacentral:SRP_RNA from 1 species